CCAAUAGUGCCGUAACAUCGCUUACUUCUCCCUUCUCAUUUUUCUUUCAUUUGUUAUUACGUUCUUACUCGUGUGGUACGUAUUUGUAGGUUAAGUCUCUUCACUCAAAGAUUAUGAAAUGGCGUAGAAGAAACUCAUCAACCGUAUUGAAUGAUUUGCAGGAAGUUAUUUGACCUCGAUUUUUCACAGUCAUGCUGUCUCAUCGUCUUAUCUGUGAUAUUCUUGGUUAUGUAUGAGUGCGUUUAAUCUAACAUCAUAUCGUUGUAUUUACAUGCAUUCACGUCAGAUGGCGAUAAUGAUGUUUUUCCUUUUCUUUUUUUAUUUUUAUUUUAUUAUUACUGUUAUAUGAAAGAUUUACGCGUUCGUCAAUUUAAGUAAUAGAAAUGAUACAAAGUAACAAGAAAGCUAUUUAUUUGAUUUAUUUGUACACGUCAAACAGAUAUAUAUAUAUAUAUAUCUAUAUAUGUAAUUAAUAUAAUUAAAUUGUACUUGAGUGUAUUGUACUUGUAUUGGACGGCAUUGUUUAUCAAGAUCAAGCUAAUAUAUUUUUUAGUGAUUCAACGUGUUAAGCAUCUUACGUAACUUAAUUAUAUACAGUUAUUGUUAUCUUUAUAUAUCAGAAUGAGUAUUACCUUCUUAAUUUUUACCAAGUAAUUAUUCUUUUUCUAAGGCACUAAAAAUAAAUUUCUAUCUUUAGUACGAUCGUAAAUAAUAUAUAGGACGCUUCAGAUGAACAAGUUAAAUUUUUUCUGUUAUUGUGUUUUCUUGAAGUUCGAGAUAUGGACGAAUAUCAACUGUCGAUGAUAUAAUAUUAGGAUCUAUGUGUUCAGAACACAUUGGACACGUCUCAUCGGAUUCGAUGAUUCUAAUAGAAAAGAUAUAUAUAUUAUUAAUUGAGAAAUUUUUUAUUUUCAGGAAAAAAAAAAAAGAAUAUUACUAACCGUAAAAAUUCACUUCUGAUAGCAGGAAAAUCGCAUUGCGGACAAACUGUAAAAUUAUCUUCUAUGAUAUGUCUUCCCUGAAAUAAAUUACAUAUGUAUAUUAUAUAGUAUAUCUAUAUAGUGUAUAAUUUAUGAAAAAACUGUACCGUAGCUAUGCAAAAUGGAAUUGUAUUCUUGCACUUAUCACAGGUUAUUUCAGUCUCAGGAACUUUACUUUUACAAUAUGGACAUGGAGUUAAAGGACGCAUUAACAUAGCUGCGAAAUUGAAUGCUGCCUGUUUCAAACCUGCUCUGUGACAUUCUAUAACUGUUGAAGUUAAAAUUGGGACGAUAUCUGUAAUAUAAAAAAUUGUGAUUGUA